AACCUGGGCGACAGAGGAGACUCUGUCUGAAAAAAAAAAAAAUAGUAGGGCUUUUUAUCAAUACAGUUCAACACACCCUUAUUGAGUGUUUUGGAGCAAAAAUUACUAAGAGUCCUUAACCUCUAACAGUUCACGAUCUAAUGGGAAAAAGUCACCCCUUUUUUAGACUAUUUCACUUCUCUCCUUUUCCAGGUUAAAGGACACAGUCCUUGUUUCAAGAGCAUCUACAGAGAUUUCCAAACUCCCUUGCUCCUCCCUGCCCUCCUGCUACUUAGGACGGCUGUCUCUCCUCCCCUCACCACAGGUCCCAUUCUCCCCUUCUUUCUUAGGAAUGUUUUGCUCUCUCCAUGCUUAUCCCUUUUCUCUCUGGGAAUUUCAAUUCACUCUCUCAAAAGAGAUUGAAACGUGCUCAGGAUUAUCUCAUCUAAAUAAAAACAAACAGCAAAAACCUCCCUAAGACCCUAUAUCCUUCUUCACCCUUAUCGCUCUCUUCCUUUUUACAGUCAAGUUUCUAAAGCAUUAUGUGUACUUCCUGUGUAUUUCCUUACUUCCCACUGGCUCCUCAACUCACUUUAAUACAGCUUCCACCCCUUCCCCCCAAGACAGCUCCUACUAUCAAUUAUCUCCCAAAUGCCAUGGGUACAUUUGAGGCCAUAUCUCUGUCCACCUCCUUGAAAUGCUUGGUUUCAGUGAUACCGAGAUCUCAUGUUCUUCCCACGUAGUGACUGCCAUGCUGGAGCAGCCUGGCAAUAGUGGUCCUUCAAUGUCAUCCUCGGAAGAAACGAGAGGUGGCUACCAUCUCCCCACUCUUCCUCUGCAGAUGCUCUUCUACCCUAAAGCCCAGAGUCCAGGCUGUCCUUGAAGCAGAGCCUCUCCCCAGAUGAAAUGACUGGGGUUUUUUGUUUUGUUUUGCUUUGUUUUUUUGAGAUAGGGUUUCACUCUGUCGCCCAGGCUGGAGAGCAGUGGCGCAAUCAGGGCUCACUGCACCCUGAUUGUUUCUAUUUACAGAAUUUUUAUAGAGGAAACAUGGUCAGGCUCCAGAAGAUGGGGAAAUUAAAAAAAAAAAAGAAAAAAGAAAAAGAUGGGAGCAGAGGGAAGAGAGGUUUUCGGGCUGGGAAUUGGACCAGGAAAUCUUCCUUGCCUUUCCUCCUCUCCAUUCUUGCCCCUACAUCUUAAGGUGGCUCCCAUCUACCUAUUUACAUAAGAAAAGGAAAAGGUGCUGAACUUCACUGUGACUUGGAAAUGGGGAUUAAAAGGUACAUUGGAAGGGUUUUGGACAGGAUAGAACUGUGGUGUAAAUGCUUUAUAAAUCAACACAUCAUUGAUCAGUUAAAAAAUUUUAGAGCGUGUAACCAUCUAGAUUUGCCUCAAGACAUAAAUGACCCGGAUUUCAGAGUUUUAGGAACAUGAGAUAAUGUUGGAAAGUUUUUCUCUGUAAAAAAACAGUGUGAUAUACUGGAAUACCAGAAUUCAGAAAGCUGGAGUUGAAGUCAGGUCUCUACCUUUUUGGCCCCUCCUCAGCCUCAUUCUUCCUUCCCCAAACUUUAAAGGCUAGAAUUUCCCAUGACUAGUCCCAAACACUGUACUUCUCUCACACCCAACCUCUCCUGAGGCCGUCUGUCUUAGCUGUGACCAUAGCCUGGUGACACUCACAUUUUUUUCCUUUUCUUUUCUUUUCUUUUUUUUUUUUUUACAGAAACAGUCUCACUAUAUUGCCCAGGCUGGUCUCAAACUCCUAGGCUCAAGCGAUCCUCCCACCUCGGCCUCCCAAAGUGUUGGAAUUACAGGCCUUAAUUUUAUCUCCAGGCCUGAUCACUCACUUGAGCACCAGACACAAAUGUCCAGCUGCCAGCUCGGCAUCUCCACUUGCUUAUCUCAGGCCACACAUGGUUUUUCAGGGUUCCCUCUGUCAGGAAUGACAAUGCCAUCCACCCAGUUCUGUGAACCAGAACAUUUCCCCCAGUCCUGAUGACUUUUCCUCCUGAACAUAAGCUGGGUUUGUAAGCUUCUCCGCAUCUUCACCAUCCCCCCAGCUCACACCUCCAUGGUUGUGCCACCAGGCCGCUCCAGUAGCAUCCCAACAAGCUUCCUGCAUCCAGGCAGGCCCUUCUCCAGUGUAUUCUUCUCAAGUAACAGUAAUGAUCUUUAUAAAACUCAAGCCACAUUAUAUUGUAUCAGCUGUUACUUAACGCUCUCUAAGAGAUUCCCACUGCUCUUAGGGCAAAUACUCAAAUCCUGAACAUGGUCUACUAAACCCUAUCCAGCCUGACGCCCGUGUACCUUCCAGUCUCAUCUUGCACAGUCCUUGCUUUCAGCUCUGGCCUUAUUAAAUGUCUUUUAGUUUCUUCAGUACAUGACACUUCCUUCAGCCACAGGGCCUCUGCGCAUGGUGUUUCCUCUCCCCAGAAUACCCAGUCCCCACUAAUGAACACUUACACUUUUCACCUUUCCACCUAGAUAUCAUUUUCCUAAUGCCCUAGGGCCUGCCUGCACUAGGUACGGUUCCCCUGGGGCAUUCUCUGUCUUUUUUUUUUUUUUGAGAUGGGGUCUUGCUCUGUCGCCUAGGUUGGAGUGCAGUGGUGCAAUCUCGGCUCACUGCAGCCUCUGCUUCCUGGGUUCCAGUGAUUCUCCUGCCUCAGCCUCUGGGUAGCUGGGAUUACAGGCAUGCGCCACCACGCCCAGCUAAUUUUUGUAUUUUUAGUAGAGACGGGCCAGGCUGGUCUCAAACUCCUGACAGGUGAUCCGCCCACCUCGGCCUCCCAAAGUGCUGGUAUUACAGGUGUGAGCCACGGCACCCGGCCUCCCUGGUGCAUUCUCUUAUACUGCCAUGCAUAUCUUUCCUUUAUAGAUGUAUCCAAUGUAAACCCAGUUGGAUCUAGUUUUAAUUGUAUGCUUCUUAUGACUUACUUUAUUUUGUGAUUUACUAGUCUACAAACUCCAUGAAAACAGGAAUAAGGUCCGGUGCUGUUCACCCUGGUAUUCCCAGUACCUAUAACAUUACCUAGCACAUUUUUAGGCACUCCAUUGAAGAUUAACCACCAAAGUACAUUAAUUUGAAUAACCAUAAGUUAUCUCACGAUGACUUUAAAUUUUAAGUCAUAUAGUUCCCCUUUCCCCUUUCAUUUUUUCUCAAAUCUUUCUUAAGCCUCUCCUACAUUUUCUCACUCCCUUAACCUCUUUUAAACCUUCUCACCUUUGCCUCCUGUCCUCUGUUAUCAGAGACCUUAUUUGAUAACAUUUAUUUUUGUUUAUUUAUUUAUUUAUUUUUCUCAUUCUGUUGCCCAGGCUGGAGUGCAGUGGCACGAAGGUGUGAGCCACCAUGCCCAGCCGAUAACAUUUAACAAUAUAAAGUUGAUAUAAGUUGUUCCCUGAGUAUUCUUGAGCCUGUGGAAAAAUAAAAAAUCAAAGUUUUUACUUUCUUCCUUGUGUUUUUCCCUCCAACCCUUUGGCACUGGCUAUUAGAUUACCCAUGAACAGUAGCCAGGGAUGACUAUGGGCCUGUAGGACUGUCACAGUAGACAGUCUCCUUCUAGGUAUUGUUAAAUACCUUUUAGAAGUUGGGUCUGGAAGAUGAUGGUGUCUCAGUUGUGACCUUGUGUCCAAAAUACCUCGUCAACCAGCUUUCCAUCCAGGGGGUCUAGCAUGUGCCCUCUUAGCCUCCUGUACAGCUCCUUGGAAGUACUCCCCAAAUUAUAAUUACUCACUUUGCAAUUACAUAGUUGUUUAAUAUCUGUUUCUCCCAGAAUUAAU
rnacentral:lncRNA from 10 species